AUUUACGCCCGAUCUCGUCCGAUCUCGGAAGCCAAGCAGGGUCGGGCCUGGUUAGUACUUGGAUGGGAGACCGCAUGGGAAUACCAGGUGCUGUAAGCG
rnacentral:rRNA from 1 species